GACGAACGCUGGCGGCGUGCCUAAUACAUGCAAGUAGAACGCUGAAGAGAGGAGCUUGCUCUUCUUGGAUGAGUUGCGAACGGGUGAGUAACGCGUAGGUAACCUGCCUUGUAGCGGGGGAUAACUAUUGGAAACGAUAGCUAAUACCGCAUAACAAUGGAUGACACAUGUCAUUUAUUUGAAAGGGGCAAUUGCUCCACUACAAGAUGGACCUGCGUUGUAUUAGCUAGUAGGUGAGGUAAUGGCUCACCUAGGCGACGAUACAUAGCCGACCUGAGAGGGUGAUCGGCCACACUGGGACUGAGACACGGCCCAGACUCCUACGGGAGGCAGCAGUAGGGAAUCUUCGGCAAUGGGGGCAACCCUGACCGAGCAACGCCGCGUGAGGGAAGAAGGGUUUCGGAUCGUAAAGCUCUGUUGUAAGUCAAGAACGGGUGUGAGAGUGGAAAGUUCACACUGUGACGGUAGCUUACCAGAAAGGGACGGCUAGCUACGUG
rnacentral:rRNA from 1 species